UUGAACGCUGGCGACAUGCCUUACACAUGCCAGUCGAACGGCAGCACGGGUGCUUGCCCCUGGUGGCGAGUGGCGAACGGGUGAGUAAUACAUCGGAACAUGUCCUGUAGUGGGGGAUAGCCCGGCGAAAGCCGGAUUAAUACCGCAUACGAUCUACGGAUGAAAGCGGGGGACCUUCGGGCCUCGCGCUAUAGGGUUGGCCGAUGGCUGAUUAGCUAGUUGGUGGGGUAAAGGCCUACCAAGGCGACGAUCAGUAGCUGGUCUGAGAGGACGACCAGCCACACUGGGACUGAGACACGGCCCAGACUCCUACGGGAGGCAGCAGUGGGGAAUUUUGGACAAUGGGCGAAAGCCUGAUCCAGCAAUGCCGCGUGUGUGAAGAAGGCCUUCGGGUUGUAAAGCACUUUUGUCCGGAAAGAAAUCCUUGGCCCUAAUACGGUCGGGGGAUGACGGUACCGGAAGAAUAAGCACCGGCUAACUACGUG
rnacentral:rRNA from 1 species